rnacentral:lncRNA from 1 species
UUUCAAGAGCCGUGUUCAACUCCCAGAAGAUUUUCUCUUCCAUAUUUAUGGGCACAUGAUGUAAGAACUGGAAAAGAUGAGGAUGUGCAGUCUUUAGGCAAUGGCAGCAUCGUUGAGUUUCAUUGUGAAACUCUUCGGCUCCGGUGUUCAUGCAAGUCAAAGAAAGUAAAUGAAUUAGAGAGCAGCUACUGUUCUAACAAGCUAAAAAAGCAAAAUAAACAAAGUAGGAAAAGAGCAAAAUUUAUAGACUUGAAAUUGAGUAGCUUUUCUUGCAUUUAGACAUGACCAACUCAUAUUAACAGAAACAUAUUCUCAAGUAAUGUUCCAAGUUAGAAAUAAAUGAUUAGAUCCCUUUUUUUUAAGUAAGGCCUGAAAUAAUUCUAUAUCGUUGAACCAAACAUACAUGAACAGACAAGCAUAUUUUACACCCUUUUAAAGGUUACCAUUAAAUUAACAGAGAUGCUAGCAUUUAGUUGCCAAUCUUAAAUAGAAUCAUGAAGGCAUGAUGUUCACAAGAUAACAUGUAAUCUCAUAUAGCUAAAGUCUAUUUGAAAUAAACAUUUUAAAAAUCCUAUGGGCAUGACCUCUAAACUUUGGAAUAAGCAUAAAAGUCGUAUUUUUAUCACUUAAGCAGAAAGUAGAGCAAAAGGAUACAAUAAGAGAAUACAUAUUCUCCUAAAGCAUGAUUUCGCUAAUUAGUAAUCAUACAACAUGAUUUCUGGACAUAUUAAUUAGCUCUAAUAUUAUGAUUCUAACCCAUUCAAAUAGCCAUGUGUGUAUGUAUAUAUGCUGAUGAAAGUAUUGCACACUAAACAAGAGUCCUUUCAUGUAAAGUCCAUAUAGGUCCUAAUGUCAUGAUUUUUACUACCUGAACAACAACUAAAUUUUAAUCCUUAAGGCAUGGCUUCUAUUCAAGUAUUAUCAGUAGAGGUUUUGAAAGUAGAAGACAACAACUAGUGUCACGAUUCAAUCAUGAAAUUUUGAAGAGACAGAUAUGAACAUAAAAGGUCUUAAUACAUGAUUUUAUCAUUAUUACUAUUUUGCUAGCACACUUCAAUAUGACUAAAACAGAGAAAAGCUAAGACAUGAUUUUCUAGGCAAACACACUGUUUUUAAAUGAAUGAGAAAAAUCAAAACAUGGUCAGAUUUUACCUGUUGUGGGGCAGUGAACUCAGGACAUCGAUCUCGAAUCUACUCUCUCGUUACGAACAGAUCCGAACAAGUUCGAAUACCUCUGUCACGGCCAAAGUUCACCGAGACAGAAAAGAAAAGGUUUUAUUUCUAAGAGACUCUUGCAAGUUUGAGAGACUAUAACAGUAGUGAGAAUGACAGAGUAGUAGUGUUUUGCUGGUUCAUGUGUGUGUAGGCGGCUGUGUCUGAGGGUGUUCCACCUUAGAAAUUUAGAGUUUUUGUGGUCUUUUUCGUGCUCUGUCACCUCUCCCUCGGCUGAGAGUAAAAGAUAAAUAUUUAUAGAGUAGGUGAUUUUAAGCGGGAUUUCUUGAUUAAGGAUUCAAAAUCGAGUCAGAAUCCGAAACGUUGAGAUGAGCUGGGUGCUCACGUGAAUUGGUCAAGUUCUGAAAAGAGAUGCCUUUUUCUCAGCGAAUGCGCCAAAGAAAGGAUAGAGAAGGACGAUCUUUGCCUCAAAUGGAGUGGGCAUAGCCUGGUCAUGGCUGAAAGGAAUUUGAAAGUUGACAUAGAAGAGGAAAGGGGUGAAGAGAGAGUGGCAAGUGGCAACGUCUGUGAUGGAUUAGAAAAUGAAUCUAGGGUUAUGUCAUCAAUCUCACAGCUGAUGCAUGUUAAAAGAAUUAAUAUAAAAGAAAAUAUACUAAUACUAAAUAAAAAAGGUUCAAGUGAGAUAAAAUACGGGAUCCUAAUUUAGAAUUUAUUUGUUACUAAUCAGACUACUUUUUUUUGACAAAUAAUUAUUUAUUUACUUUUUAUUUCUUGUUACCACAACAAUCUAUUAUCUCGGUUCCAAAUAGAAGCUACUUUUUUUAACAACGCUCUAUAACUACUAUGUUACAACACUAGCUCCUCCCAGAUUUCUCCCAAUAAGUAGUAUUCUUUUACCACAUAUAUUUAGCAUAGAAGCAGUGAGUUGGAGAUGACAAAUAUUUAGUUCAAAGCCAUUACCACUUUUCCAUUGCAUCAAAUACAAAAAAUGAAUGCUUAUAGCUAAUGUAAACUAUAAAUCGGAUAAAAUACAUUAAAUUAAUUGAGAUUAAAAAUACCUUCACAGGAAGUUUAUCACAUUGAACUUCCUCCGUGCUAACGCGCUUUCUCCUUUUGGGUUUAAUAGCAAUAUUUUGUUGCAUAGCAGAUGCAUUUUCGAUUUUUUUUCCUUUGUCUUUUGUAUGCGAUGCUUCAACCCGUUUUUCCCUUUGAUUGUCCUUUCGAACGACUAUUGCAUGUGGGGAUUUGCAACCCUUUAACACCGUUUCUUCAAAGUCAGAGUCAUAAUCAACAUGAAGAGAUGAAAAUUUGACCACAUUUGAUUUUGAUUUUGAUUUCUUACCAUAUGAAUUUUUACCCAUCUGUCAACUUGGCAAGAAUGAGAAUAUCUUCCAAUUUCUACAAUGGGACUUGAUUUAAAAAAAGAGUUAAUAAAAACAUUAAGUAGACAUAGUACAGAGUACUAAUCGGAUAAAAAUGAAGAGAAUUGGGGUAUUUGAAAAUUUUGAAAUUUGGGGAAGAUAGAGAAGAAAAGCGUAAAAGAAGGAGAAAGGGGAGGAGUGAGGGGAAAGUACUGAAGCACGAUAAGUUGGCUAUGCUAUGUCAAUUAAAACAAAUAAAAAUUUAAAGUAGGGCUAUAGGGUGCCAAUAUCUAAAACUAGGGCUUUUUAAUGCUAAUUUUCUUAAUAGGUUGUUAUACCAUGCCAUUUUUUCAUGAAAGAAUAUCUCUCAAGCAUUUACUAAUUUAAUCCAACGGCUAAAAUAUUUUCCAUGAAAGUCUUAAUGGGUCAGUACAUUGGUUGGGUAUUGAAGUUGAAACGUUGGGCUGAGAAGGCCGAAUGAGAUUUCCGAAAUGGCCCUUUAAUCAGGCCUCUUUUUUUGUGCGGAAAAUUAGCUAGCUUUUCCUCUCUUCUUUUAAUUUCUUUGAGCUUCUAAAUUAGAUCUACAUGUUAUAUAUAGUAAUGUUAAGUAGAUAAUAAUAAUAAUAAUAGUUGUUGUAGUAGUAGUGAUAAUGAUAAUAAUAAUAAUAAUAAUAAUAAUAAUAAUAAUAAUAAUAAUAAUAAUAAUAAUAAUAAUAAUAAUAAUAAUAAUAAUAACAACAACAACAACAAUAAUAA